AGUGAACGCUGGCGGUAGGCCUAACACAUGCAAGUCGAACGGCAGCACAGUAAGAGCUUGCUCUUACGGGUGGCGAGUGGCGGACGGGUGAGGAAUACAUCGGAAUCUACUUUUUCGUGGGGGAUAACGUAGGGAAACUUACGCUAAUACCGCGUACGACCUACGGGUGAAAGCAGGGGAUCUUCAGACCUUGCGCGAUUGAAUGAGCCGGUGUCGGAUUAGCUAGUUGGCGGGGUAAAGGCCCACCAAGGCGACGAUCCGUAGCUGGUCUGAGAGGAUGAUCAGCCACACUGGAACUGAGACACGGUCCAGACUCCUACGGGAGGCAGCAGUGGGGAAUAUUGGACAAUGGGCGCAAGCCUGAUCCAGCCAUACCGCGUGGGUGAAGAAGGCCUUCGGGUUGUAAAGCCCUUUUGUUGGGAAAGAAAAGCAGCAGGUUAAUACCCCACUGUUCUGACGGUACCCAAAGAAUAAGCACCGGCUAACUUCGUG
rnacentral:rRNA from 1 species